GCAAGGAAUUUUGUGCAAUGGGCGAAAGCCUGACACAGCGACGCCGCGUGAGGGAUGAAUGCCUUCGGGUUGUAAACCUCUUUUCUCAGGGACGAAUAAUGACGGUACCUGAGGAAUAAGUCUCGGCUAACUACGUGCCAGCAGCCGCGGUAAUACGUAGGAGGCUAGCGUUAUCCGGAUUUAUUGGGCGUAAGGAGCGCGUAGGCGGCUCUUCAAGUCGGAUGUAAAAUCUCCUGGCUUAACUAGGAGGGACCAUUCGAUACUGUUGGGCUGGAGGGCAGCAGAGGAAGAUGGAAUUCCCGGUGUAGUGGUGAAAUGCGUAGAUAUCGGGAGGAACACCAGUGGCGAAGGCGGUCUUCUGGGCUGUUCCUGACGCUGAGGCGCGAAAGCGUGGGGAGCGAACAGGAUUAGAAACCCCAGUAGUCC
rnacentral:rRNA from 1 species